UACGGUAGGGACCGAGCGUUGUCCGGAAUCAUUGGGCGUAAAGAGCGUGUAGGCGGCCACUUAAGUCCUGCGUGAAAUCUUGCGGCUCAACCGCAAGCGGUCGUGGGAAACUGGGUGGCUAGAGUGCGGGAGAGGAGAGUGGAAUUCCUGGUGUAGCGGUGGAAUGCGCAGAUAUCAGGAAGAACACCCGUGGCGAAGGCGGCUCUCUGGAACGCAACUGACGCUGAGACGCGAAAGCGUGGGGAGCAAACAGG
rnacentral:rRNA from 1 species